rnacentral:lncRNA from 1 species
CAUAACUUCUCCAAGCUCCGCCCUCCUCUAACCUCCUUUCCAACUCCUGUGCUUUCUCCUUAGACAAAGCUCCCCAUCUAAUCCGCGGUUGACCCAGGGCGCCCCUCCUCUUCUUCUUCACCCAGAGAUCGACAUCCAUCACUAGAAGUCUAUGCAGAGUUGAAAGAGACUCUCCCGGAAUAACCUUGCAGUCCUUGCACAGACCCCUGUCGCUCCUUCUGAUGAGGAUGUAAUCAAUUUGAGUCCUCGCCGCCGAACU